AGUGCGAGAACCAAAUCCAAGAUCAUCUCAUGAAGAUAAUCUAAAUAGCAUGUUGCCGGCAGAAGAACAAGAAGGGCCUACCUUUGGAGAGGAUGUCCGGAUGGCUGAAACUACAGAGGAUACCGUUUCACAUUCACCAUUACUAGAGGACAAGAAUCCUACUAACUUGUCUGCCAAGAGUCCUCAAUGCGAGAACUUGGUAGAUGAAAUGGACAAAGAUAAGGGAAAUGAUGACGUGAAUGGAAGUAAAAGUGGAAUCGAUCUGCCUUCAUCGUCUUCUGCAAAGCCUCAAGAAGAAAGCGUUGAUAAUACAGAUGAUAAGUGCCCAGGAGCUGAAUCGUUGGCAGAGAAGGUGGCGGAGCCAAUAAUAGAAGAAACUGGUAAGAAUUCUCUGGUAUCUAAUGUGAUUUUUCUUGAGCUUAGUUGUAUGAGUCGUCUGGUACUUUUAAUAGAUUUGUAUGGAUCCGAGUUCUAUGCAAAAUAACGCAUCUUUACAAUUUAUCCUUAUAGGAGUGCGAGAACCAAAUCCAAGAUCGUCUCCUGAAGAUAAUCUAAAUAGCAAGUUGCCGGCAGAAGAACAAGAAGGGCCUCCUUUUGGAGAGGAUGUCCGGAUGGCUGAAACUAUAGAGGAUACCGUUUCACAUUCACCAUUACUAGAGGACAAGAAUACUACUAACUUGUCAGCCAAGAGUCCUCAUUGCGAGAACUUGGUAGAUGAAAUGGAAGAAGAUAAGGGAAAUGAUGACGUGAAUGGAAGUAAAAGUGGAAUCGAUCUGCCUUCAUCAUCUUCUGCAAAGCCUCAAGAAGAAAGCGUUGAUAAUACAGAUGACAAGUGCCCAGGAGCUGAAUCGUUGGCAGCUGAGGAACAGAAAGAAGAUGCGGACAAGGUAGGCAAGGAAUCCGAAGUCAGGUCCCCAGCAGGAGAAGUGAAGAAGGAUAACUCGUCAGAGCAGCCAGCUGAGGAACCUGCUGGAUCUAAUAAUGAGGGCGGCAAUGAUGUGGUUAUGGCUCAUAAUGAUGAAGAAGAGAAGGUCGACGAGCCAAUAAUAGAAGAAACUGGUAAGAGUUCUCGGGUUUCUAACUUGAUUUUUCUUGAGCUUAGUUGUAUGANNNNNNNNNNNNNNNNNNNNNNNNNNNNNNNNNNNNNNNNNNNNNNNNNNNNNNNNNNNNCUUGGCAGAUGAAAUGGGUGAAGAUAAGGGAAAUGAUGACGUGAAUGGAAGUAAAAGUGGAAUCGAUGUGCCUUCAUCAUCUUCUGCAAAGCCUCAAGAAGAAAGCGUUGAUAAUACAGAUGACAAGUGCCCAGGAGCUGAAUCGUUGGCAGCUGAGGGACAGAAAGAAGAUGCGGACAAGGUAGACAAGGAAUCCGAAGUCGGGUCCCCAGCAGGAGAAGUGAAGAUGGAUAACUCGUCAGAGCAGCCAGCUGAGGAACCUGCUGGACCUAAUAAUGAGGGCGGCAAUGAUGUGGUUAUGGCUCAUAAUGAUGAAGAAGAGAAGGUCGACGAGCCAAUAAUAGAAGAAACUGGUAAGAGUUCUCGGGUUUCUAACUUGAUUUUUCUUGAGCUUAGUUGUAUGAGUCGUCUGGU
rnacentral:lncRNA from 1 species